AGGAAUUUAGGUUAGAUCACAGACCAAGAGCCUUCAAAGCUCUAAGCAAAUACUAUAUAUUUAAUUCCUG
rnacentral:tRNA from 1 species